rnacentral:rRNA from 1 species
UUCUAAGGGCGUUGAAGCAUGAUCGCAAGGACAUGUGGAGCGCUUAGAAGUGAGAAUGCCGGUGUGAGUAGCGAAAGACGGGUGAGAAUCCCGUCCACCGAUUGACUAAGGUUUCCAGAGGAAGGCUCGUCCGCUCUGGGUUAGUCGGGUCCUAAGCUGAGGCCGACAGGCGUAGGCGAUGGAUAACAGGUUGAUAUUCCUGUACCACCAUUAUUCGUUUUAAGCGAUGGGGGGACGCAGUAGGAUAGGCGAAGCGUGCUGUUGGAGUGCACGUCCAAGCAGUGAGAUUGAGUGUUAGGCAAAUCCGGCACUCUUAAGAUUGAGCUGUGAUGGGGAGAGGAACUUGUUCCUCGAGUCGUUGAUUUCACACUGCCGAGAAAAGCCUCUAGCUAGAAUAACGGUGCCCGUACCGCAAACCGACACAGGUAGUCAAGAUGAGAAUUCUAAGGUGAGCGAGCGAACUCUCGUUAAGGAACUCGGCAAAAUGACCCCGUAACUUCGGGAGAAGGGGUGCUCUUUGAGGUUCACGCUUCGAAGAGCCGCAGUGAAUAGGCCCAAGCGACUGUUUAUCAAAAACACAGGUCUCUGCUAAACCGUAAGGUGACGUAUAGGGGCUGACGCCUGCCCGGUGCUGGAAGGUUAAGAGGAGUGGUUAGCGCAAGCGAAGCUACGAAUCGAAGCCCCAGUAAACGGCGGCCGUAACUAUAACGGUCCUAAGGUAGCGAAAUUCCUUGUCGGGUAAGUUCCGACCCGCACGAAAGGCGUAACGAUUUGGGCACUGUCUCAACGAGAGACUCGGUGAAAUCAUAGUACCGGUGAAGAUGCCGGUUACCCGCGACAGGACGGAAAGACCCCGUGGAGCUUUACUGUAGCCUGAUAUUGAAAUUCGGUACAGUUUGUACAGGAUAGGUAGGAGCCUUAGAAGCGUGAGCGCUAGCUUACGUGGAGGCAUUGGUGGGAUACUACCCUAAUUGUAUUGGAUUUC